rnacentral:rRNA from 1 species
AGUGAACGCUGGCGGUAGGCCUAACACAUGCAAGUCGAACGGCAGCACAGUAAGAGCUUGCUCUUACGGGUGGCGAGUGGCGGACGGGUGAGGAAUACAUCGGAAUCUACUUUUUCGUGGGGGAUAACGUAGGGAAACUUACGCCAAUACCGCAUACGACCUACGGGUGAAAGCAGGGGAUCUUCGGACCUCGCGCGAUUGAAUGAGCCGAUGUCGGAUUAGCUAGUUGGCGGGGUAAAGGCCCACCAAGGCGACGAUCCGUAGCUGGUCUGAGAGGAUGAUCAGCCACACUGGAACUGAGACACGGUCCAGACUCCUACGGGAGGCAGCAGUGGGGAAUAUUGGACAAUGGGCGCAAGCCUGAUCCAGCCAUACCGCGUGGGUGAAGAAGGCCUUCGGGUUGUAAAGCCCUUUUGUUGGGAAAGAAAAGCAGCAGGUUAAUACCCCGCUGUUCUGACGGUACCCAAAGAAUAAGCACCGGCUAACUUCGUG